rnacentral:lncRNA from 1 species
GAGUUAAUUUCUGUAAAUGGUGCAGGUUGUGGUUAAGUUUCCUUCUUUUUGAACGCUCACCCAGGUGGCCCAGCAUUUCCUAGUCCGCUUUGCCUGUUCACUGUUGGUGCCGGCCUGGAAGCUCCGCCGUGUAGGGGUUAACUCUCAGCGGUCUUAGCAGAGCUGACUUUGCAACUUCUGGUUCUCCUGGCCUCUCUCACAGUUACCAGCUUAUGGGUCCUGAUUUCCUAUCUGCCUUUGGCAGAGGGGGCGGGCUCACUGUUUGUGCUAAGGAUUCCUCCCCUGGUGCUUGAAGGCCACCUUUGUUCCCCAAGACCCUCCCCUGUGUGGGAGACCUGGCUACAGCCCGCCUCUGCCCUCAGAGCCCGUGGGCGUGAGCUGGGAAGGGAGGAAUCUAAACCCAGGAACAAAAGGCCUUUCUGCCAGAGAUGCUCCAUGGUUAUUUGUAAGGCUGCUUUGGGUGGGCGUGGCCGGGGAGGGGCCUGGGCGGGGGCACCCCUUCCCUCAGGGCUCAGGUCUCCUGGGGCACCAGUUGAUGUUUCUUUUCUCUCUCUUCUGUGGCUGCUUUGGGCGCUACUUUCCUAUCACCUUUGCAACUUGGGGACGAGAACUCAGAAGCUGUGAUCUGCACAUUUGAAGGCUGUGUUUCAGUUCCGUAGCAUCAUAGUCAGCCCUUUUUCUUUUUUUUUUUUUAAUUAAAAAAAAAAAAAGUUUGACGCCUGAUUGUACCUGUGUGUUUUCAGGGUGUCACGUGAGGUCUCCAUGUUGCAUGCAUUGUGGGUAAUGAUCUAAUUAGACGACUCAGUGUGUCCAUCUCUAUCCGCAGUGCUGGGAACAGUGCAACCCCCUCCCAGCUCUUUGGAAUGUCUUCCUCCAUGGUGGUCAGAGUGCUGGCCGUGGAGGCCGCCCCUGGUCCCUCGUGGUGGUCAGAGUGCUGGCCGUGGAGGCCGCCCCUGGUCCCUCGUGUGGUCAGAGUGCUGGCUGUGGAGGUCACCCCUGGUCCCUCGUGGUGGUCAGAGUGCUGGCUGUGGAGGCCGCCCCUGGUCCCUGCAUGGUGGGGGGUGCAUCGUGCCAGCGCCGGCACAUCCAACCGUGAAAAUCAGAGUGAUGGUCUGGCUUCACCAGCUGCGCUGCCUUGAGCUGUGAGACUCCAAGUGUUGGAUCAGGAGGAACGUGGUGUCCUGGCCACGUCGCCUGGCUCCUUGCUCUGUGCUUUGCAAUGAGCACCUGCUCUCCUCUCCUCGGCUGUUUCGUAGCUAACAGGAACACUCAGAUUGGGAUGGCGUUAACGAAAUCAACAUCGAACAAAAUCUGUUCUAGAUACACAUGACAGCAUACUGUACAACACAUAAA